GUUGUUCGGAAUUACUGGGCGUAAAGGGUCUGUAGGUGGCUUGCUAAGUCAGACGUGAAAUCCCUCAGCUUAACUGGGGAACUGCGUCUGAGACUGGCGAGCUUGAGGGCAGGAGAGGAACGCGGAAUUCCAGGUGUAGCGGUGAAAUGCGUAGAUAUCUGGAGGAACACCGGUGGCGAAGGCGGCGUUCUGGACUGUAACUGACACUGAAGAACGAAAGCCAGGGGAGCAAACGGG
rnacentral:rRNA from 1 species